GCGAGCUUGGCGGAAUUGGUAGACGCAGGAGACUUAAAAUCUCCAGCCUGUAUGGGCGUGUGGGUUCAAGUCCCGCAGUUCGCACCA
rnacentral:tRNA from 1 species